rnacentral:lncRNA from 1 species
AACUGAUGCAGGAAGCCUUGAGGUGCCGGGGCUCUGAACUGCCAAGCCUAGACGGGCUCAGCCCUGGCAAGCCCUGGCACAAAUUAAGCACUGCUGAAUAGUAAUAUUGAGGAUAGCUAGAAGUGAAGGUACCCUCAAUUACACAAAUAGGCUGUUAAAAGCUUUGUCAACAUACCAAAUCCUAAGAGUUUGGGAUUCUAUAGAAAUAUCCUUACUUAAUCCCUUCCACAGAAUCAUAGAAUAUCAGAGUUGGAAGGGACCUCAAGAGGUCAUCUAGUCCAACCCCCUGCUCAAAGCAGGACCAAUUCCCAGCUAGGCCCUAGGAUCCCCCAAACCAUCUCUUAGUUGUCGUUUGAGGAUCUAUUGGCCUGACUCUUUCCUGCCCUUGCCAAUAACCUGCUCUACCAAUCCUUCAGUUUCACUGGGCAUUUGCUUCCCUCAUUCUCUACUUACCCGUCUCCCAUUUCAAAGUCCCACAAGAGUUUUGAGGGGAAAGAAAUCAUCCUGACCCUCUAACAGCUUCUACUGCACCAAGGCAGCCCCUGGCACAUUGUUACUGGAGAAGAAACACUAGCUUAUCUCACUAUAGUAUCCCUAGUGCAGAGCUGCACCUAAGUGCUUCCCUGCUUCUGCAGCCCUAUACCUCCGCCUCUCUCUCUCCACAGGGGGCUGCAACCCAUUGGAUUGUGGCUAUGGGCUUGCACAUUGCACCUUCUUCAGGGAAGGUACAGAAGGCAUGCUUCCCUGCACACUGGGGAACUACAGGAGGUUUGAACCUUUGUUCUGUGGAUUUAAAAGUGGAUCCCUGUGUCUUCAUACAUGAAAUCCACAUUCAGAUAGAUAGAAAGCCACUCACACCUGAUCUUCAGCUACUGUAAAUCAGCACAGCUCUGUUGACUUUACUGGAGCUAUACCAGUGUACACAAGCUGAGGAUCUGGGCCCUUAUGUUUUGGAUUGGUUUUAGAAAGAGAACUAUACACCCAGUGCACCAGCAGUUGUACCAGAUAUAAAGGGAAAACAAGUGUGUAAAUAAAAACAAAAAAAGCCCCUCCCCCUCA